AUUGAACUUGAUUUAAUAUGCUCUUUAUGAGCCCUGUAAUUUGGAAAACUAAAUAUUUUAUUCUAUUCUAUUCUAUUCUCAUCUCAUACCCGUAGUCACGGGGCCCUUUGAAAACAAAUAAGCACUGUUAAAGUCAACGUUCUAUUCGAAUUGUGACUGUUAAAGUUGAGUUCGUGAAUCCAAAUACCCCCCUUUUUUUCCUUUGGAAAUUCCUGGCUACGGGCCUGAUUCUACUAUACUAUUGUCAAUUUAAUAUCUCUACACUACUUUACAGUACUGUAGCUCAGUAUUGCUUGUAAAACUGAAAACUGGUCUUUCAAGGAGAACAAGUCUUACUUUGUCUCCUUUAAAUAUUAUAAUAACACAUGUACACGAAUUGUAUUCGUGAGUUUUUUGAAAAAUAUGCUUAAAUCCAAC
rnacentral:lncRNA from 1 species